UACGUAGGGGGCAAGCGUUGUCCGGAUUUAUUGGGCGUAAAGAGCUCGUAGGUGGUUCGGUAAGUCGGAUGUGAAAUCUCCAGGCUCAACCUGGAGGGGUCAUUCGAUACUGCCGUGACUAGAGGUCGGUAGGGGAGUGUGGAAUUCCUGGUGGAGCGGUGAAAUGCGCAGAUAUCAGGAGGAACACCCGAGCGAAGGCGGCACUCUGGGCCGAUACUGACACUGAGGAGCGAAAAGCGUGGGGAGCGAACAGG
rnacentral:rRNA from 1 species